rnacentral:rRNA from 1 species
GUGGGGAAUAUUGCACAAUGGAGGAAACUCUGAUGCAGCGACGUCGCGUGAGUGAUGAAGGUCUUCGGAUCGUAAAACUCUGUCCUAAGGGACGAUAAUGACGGUACCUUAGGAGGAAGCCCCGGCUAACUACGUGCCAGCAGCCGCGGUAAUACGUAGGGGGCGAGCGUUGUCCGGAUUUAUUGGGCGUAAAGGGUGCGUAGGCGGCCUUGUAAGUCAGAUGUGAAAGAUCAUGGCUUAACUGUGGUAAGCAUUUGAAACUGCAGGGCUUGAGUACAGGAGAGGAGAGUGGAAUUCCUAGUGUAGCGGUGAAAUGCGUAGAUAUUAGGAGGAAUACCAGUGGCGAAGGCGACUCUCUGGACUGAUACUGACGCUGAGGCACGAAAGCGUGGGGAGCAAACAGG